GGUUUUAUAGUGUAAAUAAAGCACUCUAGAUUGCAAAUCUAAAAGAGGAAAUCUCCUAAAACCU
rnacentral:tRNA from 1 species